rnacentral:rRNA from 1 species
AGAGCGAACGCUGGCGGCAGGCUUAACACAUGCAAGUCGAGCGGGCGUAGCAAUACGUCAGCGGCAGACGGGUGAGUAACGCGUGGGAACGUACCUUUUGGUUCGGAACAACCCAGGGAAACUUGGGCUAAAUACCGGAUAAGCCCUUACGGGGAAAGAUUUAUCGCCGAAAGAUCGGCCCGCGUCUGAUUAGCUAGUUGGUGAGGUAAUGGCUCACCAAGGCGACGAUCAGUAGCUGGUCUGAGAGGAUGAUCAGCCACAUUGGGACUGAGACACGGCCCAAACUCCUACGGGAGGCAGCAGUGGGGAAUAUUGGACAAUGGGCGCAAGCCUGAUCCAGCAAUGCCGCGUGAGUGAUGAAGGCCUUCGGGUUGUAAAGCUCUUUCGCACGCGAGGAUGAUGACGCUAGCGUGAGAAGAACGCCCGGCUAACUUCGUGCCAGCGAGCCGAC